UAGGGAAUCUUCGGCAAUGGGGGGAACCCUGACAGAGCAACGCCGCGUGAGUGAAGAAGGUUUUCGGAUCGUAAAGCUCUGUUGUUAAGGAAGAACGAGUGUGAGAAUGGAAAGUUCAUACUGUGACGGUACUUAACCAGAAAGGGACGGCUAACUACGUGCCAGCAGCCGCGGUAAUACGUAGGUCCCGAGCGUUGUCCGGAGUUAUUGGGCGUAAAGCGAGCGCAGGCGGUUAGAUAAGUCUGAAGUUAAAGGCAGUGGCUCAACCAUUGUAGGCUUUGGAAACUGGUUAACGUGAGUGCAGAAGGGGAGAGUGGAAUUCCAUGUGUAGGGGUGAAAUGCGUAGAUAUAUGGGGGAACACCGGUGGCGAAGGCGACUCUCUGGUCUGUAACUGACGCAGAGGCUCGAAAGCGUGGGUAGCAAACAGG
rnacentral:rRNA from 1 species